AUGAACGCUGGCGGCGUGCCUAACACAUGCAAGUCGAACGGGAAAGGUCGAAAGACUGAGUAGAGUGGCGCACGGGUGAGUAAUGCAUAGGAAUCUACCUUUCAGAGGAGAAUACCCUGGAGAAAUCCAGGCUAAUACUGCAUAAGCCCAGAGAUGGGGAAAGAUGGCCUCGUGCUAUCACUGAAAGAUGAGCCUGUGUCCUAUUAGCUAGUUGGUAAGGUAAAAGCUUACCAAGGCGAAGAUGGGUAGCCGACCUGAGAGGGUGAUCGGCCACACUGGAACUGAAACACGGUCCAGACUCCUACGGGAGGCAGCAGUGGGGAAUAUUGCACAAUGGGCGCAAGCCUGAUGCAGCGACGCCGCGUGGAGGAUGAAGGUUUUCGGAUUGUAAACUCCUGUUAAUGUGGAAAAAUGCUUGCUGGUCUAAUAGGCCAGUAAGUUGAUGGUACACAUAGAGGAAGCACCGGCUAACUUCGU
rnacentral:rRNA from 1 species